UGGAUGCACCUCAGGGGUGGGCAAAAUACGGCCUGCGGGCCGGAUGUAGCCUGCCAAGCUAUUCUAUCUGGCGUGCGGGGCCCCUAAAAAAUUUAGAGAAGUUAAUAUUAAUCUGCCCUGGGCUGCCUGUCAUGCGGCCCUCGAUGGCUUGC